UACAGAGGGUGCGAGCGUUAAUCGGAAUUACUGGGCGUAAAGCGUGCGCAGGCGGUUUGCUAAGACAGGUGUGAAAUCCCCGGGCUUAACCUGGGAAUUGCGCUUGAAACUAGCGGGCUUGAGUGUGGCAGAGGGGGGUGGAAUUCCACGUGUAGCAGUGAAAUGCGUAGAGAUGUGGAGGAACACCGAUGGCGAAGGCAGCCCCCUGGGUCAACACUGACGCUCAUGCACGAAAGCGUGGGGAGCAAACAGG
rnacentral:rRNA from 1 species